rnacentral:lncRNA from 1 species
GCGCCGGCGGCUGGAGAAAGAGGGGGCGCUGGCCGAGGUCCUGCCCCGGGGGUCCCUGUUCGGCACCAGGCCCCGGACGGUUCCCCUGCAUCUGUUCCUGUUCACCGACCUGCUGCUCAUCACCCAGCGCAAGAGGUCGGACAUGCACCGAUGGAUGGAGGCCUUUCCCCAGCCCGGCGCCCCCCCCAGCCAGCCCCAGGAGACCAUCUACGAGGACUGGGACUGCCCCCAGGCGCAGUGCGUGGAGCCCUACGUGGCCAGCCAGGCCGAUGAGCUGAGCCUGGAGCCGCCCGACGUGGUCAACGUGCUGCGCAAGACGAGUGAGGGUGAGCGCCGGGGAGGGGGGGAGGGGGGNGUGCAGCCCCCCCAGAGCCCAGGCAGGGAGCCCCAGUGCCGCCCCCUGGUGGAUGGAGUUGGAUCAGACCCAGCCACGUGCCCCAUGCUUUGCCCCCCUGAACCUGCCCCACGUAUUGGGGUCCCCCCUGUCUCCCUGCCCUCAGGCCCCAAAUCCCUGGGCCCUCACCCCACUGCUGGGCCCUCGCCCCCCUGUGCAGCCACGGCCUCUGCCCCGGGCGCUGGCCUGGGUCCUUCCCCCCCCCCCNNNNNNNNNNNNNNNNNNNNNNNNCCCCCCAGCAGGGCCGUGGGCGGUGCCCUGUGCCAGCCACACUCACCCUCCCCCCCCGGCAGGCUGGUGCCAGGGCCUGCGACUGGCCGACGGGCACAAGGGCUGGUUCCCGGCCAGCCACGUGCGGGAGAUCACCAGCGAGCACGUCCGGCGGCGUAACCUGCGCGAGCGGCACCGGCUCCUCCAGGCCGCCCGGCAGCUGCAGCUCGGCCGCCUCGCCAGCGCCAAGGGCAGCUCCGGCUGAGCGGGCACGGGGCACGCCGGGCAUGGGAGACGCCCUGAUCCACCUAGCCGGGCACGGGACACGCCCUGAUCCACCUAGCCGGGCACGGGACAAGCCGGGCACAGGACACUCCCUGCACCGCCAAGCUGGGCACGGGACACGCCCUGCGCCGCCGAGCCGGGCACGGGACACGCCGGGCACAGGACACGCCCUGCACCGCCGAGCCGGGCACGGGACACGCCCUGAGCCGCCGAGCNCCUGCGCCGCCGAGCCGGGCACAGGACACACCGGGCACGGGACACGCCCUGCGCCGCCGAGCCGGGCACGGGAGAUGCCCUGAUCCACCUAGCCGGGCACGGGACAUGCCGGGCACGGGACACGCCCUGAUCCACCUAGCCGGGCACGGGAGACGCCCUGCGCUGCCGAUCCGGGCAUGGGACACGCCCUGAGCCGGGCAC